ensembl:misc_RNA Metazoa_SRP Metazoan signal recognition particle RNA
GCUGGGUGUGGUGGCGCGUGCCUGUAGUCCCAACUACUCAGGAAGCUGAGGUGGGAGGAUUGCUUGAGCCCAGGAGUUCUGGGCUGUAGUGUUGUGCCGAUUGGGUGUCCAUACUAAGUUCGGCAUCAAUAUGGUAACCUCCUGGGAUCGGGCGACCACCAGGUUGCCUAAGGGUGAACCAGCCCAGGUCGGAAAUGGAGCAGGUCAAAACUCCCAUGCUGAUCAGUAGUGGGAUCACACCUGUGAAUAGCCACUGCACCCCAGCCUGGGCAACAUAGUAAGACCGCGUCUCUA